UCGCGUUGCAGCAGAUAAGUCUGCAAAUAUGGAACCACUCUGUCUGCUGUAGUGCAAAC
rnacentral:pre_miRNA from 1 species